AUGACCAAAAUAAAGGUAGAUUUGACAGGCCCCAGGCUCAGGCGGAGGUGUGCUCUGGGGAACGCAACUACCAGGAGCUGCUGGUCAACCAGAACCCCAUGGUACAGCCUCUGGCUUCUCGCUGCCUAACGCAGAAGCUCUACAAAUGCAUCAAAAAAGCCGUGAAGCAGCAGAUUCGGUGCGGGGUGAAAGAGGUUCAGAAAUCUGUCAACGAAGGAGAAAAAGGGAUCAUGGUUUUGGCAGGAGAAACACUGCCCAUUGAGGUAUACUGCCAUCUCCCAGUCGUGUGAGGACCGAAAUCUGGCCUAUGUCUCUAUCCCUCUAAGGUGGACCUGGGUGCAGCCGCAGGCUCCAAGUGCCCCACCUGUGUGAUAACGGUCAAGUCCCACGAGGAGUACCAGGAGGCCUACAAGCGCGUGGAGGAGGUUCAGUCCCUACCCCUACCACUAUGAGGGGCUCCAGUAGCACCUGGGCACCUGCCUCUGGAAGCUACUGGGCUGGCAGCAGGACGACUGGCUGUCCACUUGCCCACCCACACUGAGGGCAUCUUCCCAGUUCCCCAAGGCACGCCUUCUUCCCAGGCAGCUCUUACAGCCCUUUCAUGAAGGUAAUGCCAGCCUUCUCUCCAUCAGUGCCAUUUCCUGUAGAACUAAAGCCUGUUCCAAGAAUAUGGGGUGGGGAAAGUAAAUGCUAAGAC